CACGAAUCCAAAAAUUUUAUAGGUCACAAAAUUUUCAUCGAUCACAAAUUCAAAAAAUUUAUUGGUCACAAACUCAUUUACUCAUUACAAAUUAUUUAAUAAAUUGGUCGCAAUUACAGCUUCGUCAAUUGUGAGUCACAAUUUUCAGGUCACAUGUCCGAUUAUUAGUCACAAUCAACCAAACCGCACCAUCACAACUACAGCCGCAACCAACUGUGACUCCAAAUUGUGAAUCACAGUCGCAGGCCACUUAUCCAAUUAUUUGUCACAAAAACCAAUCCCCCACAACAACCACCGUCACCAUAGUCAUGCAAAUCACCAACAUCAGCCCAUUGUCGCUGCACACAGGUCACCGUCGCUGCACACACACCAACACACCCACGUACAUACACACAGUCACAGAUCGUUAAACACCAUCAACGCCAACACCGCAACCUCAUGCAGACCAACAUGUCCAACACCACAAUCACAAAUCGCACACACGCCAUCGUCGCCGCACACACAUCAACACACCCAUACACAUACACACAGUCACAGAUCGCCACACACCAUCAACACUAACCACUGCCGGUCCGUUAUAAACUCCUCCAACAACCACUUCGCCACCAUCAAUACCAACACGCAAACAGGAAGAGAAAAGGGGAUGAAAGUGAGAGGUUCGCAGUGGCGCUGCAUCUUUCGGUGGAUGGAUGGCGUCCCAGCAGCGUUCGAUAAUGGAUUGAGGAUGGUGAUUCGCGGGCGAUUCCCAAGACAGUGGCGGCAAUAGGGGAGGCGACUAGGUUGGAGGAGAAUUGUAGAGAGAGAGAGAGAGAGAGAGACGAGUGUGGAAAUUAAAUUUUGAUAAGGGUUUGUGUUUAUAUAUAUUUAGAACAAAUAUUUAUUUUAAAAAUUUUUUAAUUAAAAUAAAAAAUCUGAUUUAUGAAAUGUGAAAGUUCCAAUCUAAUUUUAGAAUUAAGGAUUUUAAUACUAGGGUUCCCUGUAAUUUCCACUAUAUUUUUUCCCAGUAGAUCCAAAAAUUAUGGCGGGCUAUUAGGAAAAACGAUUUUUAAUUUUCAGAUUGCGGGCAGUAACUCAUUAUAUGGAGGAGUCAAACGAACCGAACUGAACACAGUAGAGUUGCUCGAUUGCUGGCCGCUUGACGCACCUGUGAGCCAGCUUUUUUCAACUAAGUUGGACUCGAUUUGCACUACGAGCUUGUUCCACAACGGGGAGAGUCGAGCCAAGACAAUUUGUGAGCCACUCGAGACUUGAUUUUUUUUAUUGGGGAAAACACAACAAUUCUUCCGCUUUUCACCCCUAUAUUUUUUUAUAUCACUAUAAUAGAUACUCCCAAGAAUCUGUUGCUGCAAACUCCCAAGCCUUCAUAGUGUCCACAAAACUGUAGCAGGAAUCCCGCCGGGAAAAAUGUGCGGCAUAUCCCCAUUACGUGUGGCUAUGCAACACCCCAAUGCAUCCACACAAAUUUCACAGUUUCAAUCAAACAAAAUUCAGACCAUUUUUCAACUAUGAGAGAACCUCAAUUGUUUCAAAUCUUAUGUCCAUUCCAUCACAAGUUUUUUGUGACCUAAAAUGUUAUUGAAU
rnacentral:lncRNA from 1 species